CAGUAGCCGCGGGAAUACGUAGGUGGCAAGCGUUGUCCGGAAUUAUUGGGCGUAAAGCGCGCGCAGGCGGAUAGGUCAGUCUGUCUUAAAAGUUCGGGGCUUAACCCCGUGAUGGGAUGGAAACUGCCAAUCUAGAGUAUCGGAGAGGAAAGUGGAAUUCCUAGUGUAGCGGUGAAAUGCGUAGAUAUUAGGAAGAACACCAGUGGCGAAGGCGACUUUCUGGACGAAAACUGACGCUGAGGCGCGAAAGCCAGGGGAGCGAACGGGAUUAGAUACCCGCGUAGUCCCUGUCUCUUAUACA
rnacentral:rRNA from 1 species